GUGAACUAAAACUGAGGUGACUGUGACUUUUGAUUGUGUUAUUUUGGGUCAUUUUCUCCUCAUGAACGUCUUUGAAAGAUAUGCUCCUUCACCCCCUCCUCUUCUGAAUGCUGCUUCCAGUCACCACUUAUUUUUCCUGAUUUAAGGUUCUCUGCUGGAUGGCUCUCUGACUCAGGCCCUCCUCCUGCUUCCUGGCUGAAGGCCUUGCCUCGUCUCCGCCAGCAGCUGGCUUUUUAAGAUCAAGAAAAUGCUCAAUGAUCCUGGCGCCCAUGUUGAGGAGAAGAGCGAGCCAAGCCAGAGCGAAGAUGAUCCACACGGCGGUCAGACUGCGGUACACUGAGACAUUUUGCCUGUCCUGGCCAUUGCCUGACACAGAGCAAUACUACAAAUCAAACCCAUUUAAAGUGUACAUUGGUAGACAUCUACAUAUUCCGAAGUAUGUUAAUAUUGGGUAAAUUCAGGUAUUUAAGGAUACUUCAGUUUAGCUCAUUUAAUCUAUUUAAUUCUAUUCAUUUUACUAAUUCUAGAGAAUAAAGUAAGAGAUUUGUCAUUCAUGACUUGUGUUCCAUAUUACCAAAAUACAUAAACUCACUUUAUAUACUACAAGUAUUCAGGUUAACACUUUACAGUUACACUGAUAAAAAAUGUG